rnacentral:rRNA from 1 species
ACAGCAGUAGCCACGGGAAUACAGAGGGUGCGAGCGUUAAUCGGAUUUACUGGGCGUAAAGCGUGCGUAGGCGGCUUCUUAAGUCGGAUGUGAAAUCCCUGAGCUUAACUUAGGAAUUGCAUUCGAUACUGGGAAGCUAGAGUAUGGGAGAGGAUGGUAGAAUUCCAUGUGUAGCGGUGAAAUGCGUAGAGAUCUGGAGGAAUACCGAUGGCGAAGGCAGCCAUCUGGCCUAAUACUGACGCUGAGGUACGAAAGCAUGGGGAGCAAACAGGAUUAGAUACCCCUGUAGUCCCUGUCUCUUAUAC